GAGCAAACACAGGAGCCUCAUGGUGCAUCAGAUAUGCCAGUGGAAGAUGUGUCUCUUCAGUCACAAGAACAACCACAGGAACCCUGCGUUCUUUCGGAGCCACCUGGCACACCUGACACACCAGUUUCCCCACCUUCACCUGUUCCAAGACCAUCUCAUGUUCCUAUACCAUCUACCAAUACCUUAACAGGUGUUUUUUUUUUUGCCACAGCAUUUUCAUGGAAUUCCUGCUCGCUUUUGUAUUUUUUUUUAGAUCCUUGCAGCAGUGUGGGUGAUACACCAACCACUGCAAACCUGGACCGGCUGUCACCACCCACCCUUGGAGGUGCCGACAUUUGCUCCCAGUCACCUGUGUUGGCUCCUGAUUCAUUGGGUUCAUCUGGUAUGUGGUCAUUUACCAUUAUGCUGCCUGUACGAAUUAUUUGCCUACUGAGAACGAAAUGGUAGCAGUAAAGA